AGAAUCUGCUGAGUACCAGGGACUGUGCUGAGGGUUUACACGUAGGAUCUCACUUAAUCUUCACAACUACCUUGUGAAGAAGAAGCUAUCAUACCUUCAAUUUGCAGAUGGGAAAAAUGAGGCACAGAGAGGUUAUAUAACACAUCCUAGGACACUCAGCUGGCUAAUGCUACCCACCGCCGCAAGUUCUUGUGAGGAUUAAAUGGCGUACUGUGUGGCGAGCCCUAAGCACCAUGACUGGUGCAUAGGACUAAUCGAGAAACGCUGAUUCUUGUUACUUGUUAGGUCUUUAAGUCCACUGAUGACAGGAAACUCUUCGGUGGGUCCAGAGACAAGCUGCUGGAAAUCCUGCAUAUUUAUUUUCUAGAAGGAAGUGAGCUGAUUAAGAGAGUGAUCCCUUCAGAGACAUCCUCCCUUUAAAAAACUUUAAAGGACUCCAAAUUAAGCCAUAUCCAUUUCUGGGACCCUAAAGUGGCUCACGAAAGCCAAAGGCCUCUAGCUUAAUGUUAGGUGAUUUCAAAAACCUCGAUACAGGGAGUGCAAAGGUGGAGAGGGCAAUGAGGAAUAAAUUG
rnacentral:lncRNA from 1 species